UACGUAGGGGGCAAGCGUUGUCCGGAUUUAUUGGGCGUAAAGAGCGUGUAGGCGGCCUGAAAGGUCAGCUGUGAAAACUCGAGGCUCAACCUCGAGACGUCGGUUGAAACCAUCUGGCUAGAGUCCGGAAGAGGAGUGUGGAAUUCCCGGUGUAGCGGUGAAAUGCGCAGACAUCAGGAAGAACACCCGUGGCGAAGGCGGCUCUCUGGAACGCAACUGACGCAUG
rnacentral:rRNA from 1 species